UUUUUUGGUAGCGUUUUGGUGAACGCGGGGGUUGGAGCGGCCGCCUCCCGCUCUGUGAGGGAACGGCUGUGGGCUCCGCUGUGCGGGACCCUCCGUCGGCCUUUGUGCCCGUAGCAAAGCACUGCGUGCUGCGAGGCGUGGCUGAAGCCAACAGCUGCGGCACCCCAGAAAUAACUGCGGUGCCUUUCGCUUCUGCUGCCAUUUUGGAGCUGCUUCCCAGAGAGAGGAGAUGAGGUUCCACUUGUAGGAAUUCCCUCCCCCCAUGGCAGGACAGGCGCUAUCAGAACCAGGAGGUGUGCUGGAGGAGGAUUGCUUUGCUCCUGGCUGAUGGACUAAAGUAAACAUAGAGAAAAAGGU
rnacentral:lncRNA from 1 species